UGUGGGAGCGAGCCUGCUCGCGAUGGCGUCAUCACGAUCAACAUGUAUGUUGACUGUGAAACCGCUAUCGCGAGCAGGCUCGCUCCCACA
rnacentral:misc_RNA from 1 species